rnacentral:rRNA from 1 species
UACGUAGGGCGCAAGCGUUGUCCGGAAUUAUUGGGCGUAAAGAGCUCGUAGGCGGCUUGUCACGUCGAUUGUGAAAGCCCGAGGCUUAACCUCGGGUCUGCAGUCGAUACGGGCUAGCUAGAGUGUGGUAGGGGAGAUCGGAAUUCCUGGUGUAGCGGUGAAAUGCGCAGAUAUCUGGAGGAACACCGGUGGCGAAGGCGGCAUCCUGGACCGGCAUUGACGCUGAGGCGCGGAAAGCCAGGG